UUCCUGCCACAACCAGUUAUGCAAGCAAGGUGCAGGGGCUGUUGCAGGAGUGGUUACUGCAGGGGCCUUCUUCUUAGCCCUGUUCGGCGGUGCUCUUUUCUGGGUUUACAACAAGAAAUUCCAAAAUGUAAAAAAAUCAGAAUCUUUUGCAUCUGAUAUAAUCAAAAUGCCGAAAGAAUUCACCUACAAGGAGCUGAGAUCCGCUACCAAAUGCUUCAAUGCGAAUAGAAUAAUCGGCCAUGGCGCAUUCGGGACUGUCUACAAGGGUAUUUUAACAGAGACCGGCGACAUUGUUGCAGUAAAAAGAUGCAGCCAUAGUACGCAAGGCAAGAACGAGUUUCUCUCAGAAUUAUCAAUAAUCGGAGGUCUUCGCCAUCGAAAUCUGGUAAGACUUCAAGGAUGGUGCCAUGAAAAAGGUGAAAUUCUAUUAGUUUAUGAUUUAAUGCCAAAUGGGUCCCUCGACAAAGCUUUAUUCGAAGCAAGAACACCUCUCCCAUGGACUCACAGACAAAAAAUAUUACUGGGUGUAGCAUCAGCUCUAGCUUACUUACACCAAGAAUGUGAAAACCAGGUGAUCCACAGAGAUGUAAAGAGCAGCAACAUAAUGUUAGACGAAGGAUUCAAUGCUCGUUUAGGU
rnacentral:lncRNA from 1 species